CCUCCUUACUAUUACGUCGAUGACGCCCUUGAUGCAGUGCCUACACAGAUUGUUUUGUUUAUUUAUAAAGACUCGCUUCGCGAGUGUCGCGAAUAGCUGCUUAAACGGAAGUAACCUUCCUGACAGCCGUUCUGCUCGCUAAGGUGGUAGUUGUUUUUAAAUAGAAUGCUAAUCAAUAAUCUUAUUAUUGAUUAGUGUUUUUUUAUAAUGCACUAAUGUUCUUUAACAAUUUGGAAAGCUGAUAUUAAUAGUAAUCAAUCAAAAGAGUAAUUGAGAAGUCGAAAGACGUACUUUUUACUCUACUUGACUUGAAUUGCUUGUUAUCCAACAUUGAUUGAUAGCAAGGCAAUUCUUCCGAUUAACUUGUCAUGCAUGCAACAUUACCCUUGUCCGAUUUCAAAAGGCGGACUUGAAGGCCGAAACUCCAAGGCUUUUUUAGGGGUUGUAUGGGUUUAAGUUGACCAAAACCGUUAUACCGGUUGNAAUGCCUUUGGA
rnacentral:misc_RNA from 1 species